GUUUAUAUAUGCAUAAUAAUCAAUUAAUUACAGUUGUUUUGAUUGUUGCUCUCACAUGAUAUAUUUUGCAUUAUUGAUUAAGCCAAGAUGGUAUGCAAUGUUUGCCUUAAUCUCAGUUUUGUUUUGUUAUUUAUAGGAGCUGUGGAAAAUUAUUCCUUCACCAAUGAAAUGAUGUGAAAUAAGGCUUGCAUGAGCAUUUUCUCAAGACUAUGAAUAGGCAAAUAAAUACUGACAAUGGAAAAAUUGCAACCAGACUGAGCCCAGGACAACAUAAAAUGUAACCACAAGCUCUAAAAUGUUAUUAAAAUGUGACUUAUUCAGCAUAAAAUGAAAAGGAACACUAUAGUCACCAGAACAACUACAGCUUAAUGUACUUCUGGUGAGUAUGGUCGGUCCCUGCAGGCCUUUUGCAGUAAACACCGUCUUUUCAACAUAGGGACACAUCCAGUGCUACACAAUGAGCAGCACUGACAUUCAAUGUCUCCAUCCUCUAAACUUUCCUCAUAGAGCUGCUUUGAUUCAAUGCAUCUCUGAGGAGAUGCUGAUUUGCCAGUCCGAUGUUUGGUUCCGCCCUCUGCCCGCUUCUUGGAAGAUAAUCAGAAUUUACAAUCUCAGCCAAUCCAAUGCUUUCUUGUGGGAAAGCAUAGUGAUUGGCUGAGGUCAUCACUUCUGAUGAGGUCAGCUAAGAAAGCAGAUCAGGGGCAGAGCCAGCACCAGCAGACUGGAAUAAAGGUAGGUUUUACUAUAUUUAGGGGGGGGCAAAUGGUGAGCCGGGGGGGCAUGAUAGUGUUUUUAAUUAACACUAUAGGGUCAGGAAUACAUGUUUUAUUUUAUAAUAAAAAAUAAUGCAUAUAUAUAUUAUAUAUCUUGUUAUGCAUUUUAUUAAUAUUAUAUUAUAUCAUGCAAAAUGUGAGGGCCCCAGUGUGCAUUUUAUCUGCUAGCUAUUUACCUUACUGUUUUUUUUUUCUUUGUUCAGAUAAGCACUACAAUGUGCAGCUGUAUUUCAGAUUCCUCUAUUUAUUCAUGUAUGGUAUGAAAUAUUUUGUCAUGAAAAUUAAGGAAAUAUGUUGGAAAAAAACAAUAUUAUUUUAAUGCUGUGGAUUUCUGUUAAUG